rnacentral:rRNA from 1 species
GCUGGCGGCGUGCUUACACAUGCAAGUCGAACGAGAAUCUUUAGCUUGCUAGAGAAAGUAAAGUGGCGCACGGGUGAGUAACGCGUGGGUAAUCUGCCUNCGAAUCGGGGAUAACAUUGCGAAAGCGAUGCUAAUACCGGNNAUAAACUGGUUGGCUUAGGUGAACCGGCAUCAAGGUGGUCUCUUUAUAAAAGCUACCGUUUGGAGAUGAGCUCGCGUACCAUUAGCUAGUUGGUGAGGUAAAGGCUCACCAAGGCGACGAUGGUUAGCUGGUCUGAGAGGAUGAUCAGCCACACCGGAACUGGAACACGGUCCGGACUCCUACGGGAGGCAGCAGUGAGGAAUUUUGCGCAAUGGGGGAAACCCUGACGCAGCAACGCCGCGUGAGUGAUGAAGGCUUUCGGGUCGUAAAGCUCUGUCAGGUGGGAAGAACCCACCAAGUGUUAAGACCACUUGGUGCUGACGGUACCACCGAAGGAAGCACCGGCUAACUCCGUGCCAGCAGCCGCGGUAAUACGGGGGGUGCGAGCGUUAUUCGGAAUCAUUGGGCGUAAAGGGCGCGCAGGCGGUUUUGUAAGUCAGAUGUGAAAUCCCGGGGCUUAACCCCGGAAGUGCAUAUGAAACUAUGAGACUUGAGUAUGGGAGAGGGAAGCGGAAUUCCUGGUGUAGCGGUGAAAUGCGUAGAUAUCAGGAGGAACACCGGUGGCGAAGGCGGCUUCCUGGACCAAUACUGACGCUGAGGCGCGAAGGCGUGGGGAGCGAACAGGAUUAGAUACCCUGGUAGUC